rnacentral:rRNA from 1 species
AUGGCCCUAUGGGCCUCAACGAUUUGGAAGCACUGAAAUGCGUGUAUCUUCGACAAUGCAAGUCCCUCACAUGUACACAUCACAGACCAGAUCAAGGAGGACGCGCAUGCCUGGGCCAUGGCGGGCGCCAAAGGACUAAAUAAGAUUUUACCUACAACAUGA